rnacentral:rRNA from 1 species
AUUGAACGCUGGCGGCAUGCUUUACACAUGCAAGUCGAACGGUAACGCGGGGGCAACCCUGGCGACGAGUGGCGAACGGGUGAGUAAUACAUCGGAACGUGCCCAUUAGUGGGGGAUAGCCCGGCGAAAGCCGGAUUAAUACCGCAUACGUCCUACGGGAGAAAGCGGGGGGAUCGCAAGACCUCGCGCUAAUGGAGCGGCCGAUGCCAGAUUAGCUUGUUGGUGAGGUAAAGGCUUACCAAGGCAGCGAUCUGUAGCUGGUCUGAGAGGACGACCAGCCGACACUGGGACUGAGACACGGCCCAGACUCCUACGGGAGGCAGCAGUGGGGAAUUUUGGACAAUGGGGGCAACCCUGAUCCAGCAAUGCCGCGUGUGUGGAUGAAGGCCUCGGUGUAAG